UACGUAGGGGGCGAGCGUUGUCCGGAGUUACUGGGCGUAAAGCGCUUGUAGGCGGUCCACCAAGUUUGGGGUGACAGUUGCCGACUUAAUCGGCAAAGUGCCUCAAAGACUGGCGGACUUGAGGGCCACAGAGGGACAUGGAACUCCAGGUGUAGUGGUGAAAUGCGUAGAUAUCUGGAAGAACACCAAAGGCGAAGGCAGUGUCCUGGGUGGUCGCUGACGCUGAGAGGCGGAAGCCAGGGGAGCGAACGGG
rnacentral:rRNA from 1 species